rnacentral:tRNA from 1 species
AGCUCAGUGGUCGAGCGUUGGCUUUAAAAGCCAGAGGUCGGUGGUUCAAACUCACC